CAGUAGCCGCGGGAAUACGGAGGGUGCAAGCGUUAAUCGGAAUUACUGGGCGUAAAGCGCACGCAGGCGGUCUGACAAGUCAGAUGUGAAAUCCCCGGGCUUAACCUGGGAACUGCAUUUGAAACUGUCAGGCUGGAGUCUUGUAGAGGGGGGUAGAAUUCCAGGUGUAGCGGUGAAAUGCGUAGAGAUCUGGAGGAAUACCGGUGGCGUAGGCGGCCCCCUGGACAAAGACUGACGCUCAGGUGCGAAAGCGUGGGGAGCAAACAGGAUUAGAUACCCGCGUAGUCCCUGUCUCUUAUAC
rnacentral:rRNA from 1 species